rnacentral:rRNA from 1 species
UACGUAGGGGGCUAGCGUUGUCCGGAUUUAUUGGGCGUAAAGAGCGUGUAGGCGGCCAGGUAGGUCUGCUGUGAAAAUCCGGGGCUCAACCCCGGACUUGCAGUGGGUACGGGCAGACUAGAGUGUGGUAGGGGAGACUGGAAUUCCUGGUGUAGCGGUGAAAUGCGCAGAUAUCAGGAGGAACACCGAUGGCGAAGGCAGGUCUCUGGGCCACUACUGACGCUGAGAAGCGAAAGCAUGGGGAGCGAACAGG